rnacentral:misc_RNA from 1 species
UCCGAGUUACAGCUCUCCAAACCCCUGUGAACAUACCUAAUCGUUGCUUCGGGGCAGGGAGUCCCCCGGGACGCCCUCCGGCCCCGCCCCCUACAGGGGCCGAUCAGGCGCCCGCCGGAGGAUACCCCAAACUCUUAUUUCUUUAAGUAGUCUUCUGAGUGGAACAAGCAAAUAAAUUA